GAUGAACGCUAGCUACAGGCUUAACACAUGCAAGUCGAGGGGCAGCAGGGAUUUAGCUUGCUAAAUCCGCUGGCGACCGGCGCACGGGUGCGUAACGCGUAUCCAACUUUCCCGUUACUCAGGGAUAGCCUUCCGAAAGGGAGAUUAAUACCUGAUGGUGUUUGAAAUUCGCAUGUUCUUCAAACUAAAGAUUUAUCGGUAACGGAUAGGGAUGCGUGACAUUAGAUAGUAGGCGGGGUAACGGCCCACCUAGUCUACGAUGUCUAGGGGUUCUGAGAGGAAGGUCCCCCCANACUGGAACUGAGACACGGUCCAGACUCCUACGGGAGCAGCAGUGAGGAAUAUU
rnacentral:rRNA from 1 species